rnacentral:rRNA from 1 species
GACGAACGCUGGCGGCGUGCCUAAUACAUGCAAGUAGAACGCUGAAGGAGGAGCUUGCUUCUCUGGAUGAGUUGCGAACGGGUGAGUAACGCGUAGGUAACCUGCCUGGUAGCGGGGGAUAACUAUUGGAAACGAUAGCUAAUACCGCAUAAUAGUAGAUGUUGCAUGACAUUUGCUUAAAAGGUGCAAUUGCAUCGCUACCAGAUGGACCUGCGUUGUAUUAGCUAGUUGGUGGGGUAACGGCUCACCAAGGCGACGAUACAUAGCCGACCUGAGAGGGUGAUCGGCCACACUGGGACUGGGACACGGCCCAGACUCCUACGGGAGGCAGCAGUAGGGAAUCUUCGGCAAUGGACGGAAGUCUGACCGAGCAACGCCGCGUGAGUGAAGAAGGUUUUCGGAUCGUAAAGCUCUGUUGUAAGAGAAGAACGAGUGUGAGAGUGGAAAGUUCACACUGUGACGGUAUCUUACCAGAAAGGGACGGCUAACUACGUG